GAUGAACGCUGGCGGCGUGCCUAAUACAUGCAAGUCGAGCGAACGGACGAGAAGCUUGCUUUUCUGAUGUUAGCGGCGGACGGGUGAGUAACACGUGGAUAACCUACCUAUAAGACUGGGAUAACUUCGGGAAACCGGAGCUAAUACCGGAUAAUAUUUUGAACCGCAUGGUUCAAAAGUGAAAGACGGUCUUGCUGUCACUUAUAGAUGGAUCCGCGCUGCAUUAGCUAGUUGGUAAGGUAACGGCUUACCAAGGCAACGAUGCAUAGCCGACCUGAGAGGGUGAUCGGCCACACUGGAACUGAGACACGGUCCAGACUCCUACGGGAGGCAGCAGUAGGGAAUCUUCCGCAAUGGGCGAAAGCCUGACGGAGCAAAGCCGCGUGAGUGAUGAAGGUCUUCGGAUCGUAAAACUCUGCUAUUAGGGAAGAACAUAUGUGUAAGUAACUGUGCACAUCUUGACGGUACCUAAUCAGAAAGCCACGGCUAACUACGUG
rnacentral:rRNA from 1 species